rnacentral:rRNA from 1 species
UGGGGAAUUUUUGGCAAUGGGUGAGAGCCUGACCAAGCAAUACCGCGUGGAGGAAGAAGGUUUUAGGAUUGUAAACUCCUUUUUUCAUUGAAGAAAGUAUGACGGUAAAUGAAGAAUAAGCAUCAGCUAAUUUCGUGCCAGCAGCUGCGGUAAUACGAGAGAUGCAAGCGUUAUCCGGAAUUAUUGGGCGUAAAGCGUUUGUAGAUGGUCUAAUAAGUUUGGUGUCAAAUCUUGAAGCUUAACUUCAUAACGGCAUUAAAAACUGUUAGUCUAGAGUGCGAUAGGGGUAAAGGGAAUUUCCAGUGUAGCGGUGAAAUGCGUAGAUAUUGGAAAGAACACCAAUGGCGAAAGCACUUUACUAGGUUGCAACUGACAUUGAGAGACGAAAGCUAGGGGAUCA